rnacentral:rRNA from 1 species
AUUGAACGCUGGCGACAGGCUUAACACAUGCAAGUCGAGCGGGGUGAUGGUGCUUGCACUAUCACUUAGCGGCGGACGGGUGAGUAAUGCUUAGGAAUCUGCCUAUUAGUGGGGGACAACAUCUCGAAAGGGAUGCUAAUACCGCAUACGUCCUACGGGAGAAAGCAGGGGAUCACUUGUGACCUUGCGCUAAUAGAUGAGCCUAAGUCGGAUUAGCUAGUUGGUGGGGUAAAGGCCUACCAAGGCGACGAUCUGUAGCGGGUCUGAGAGGAUGAUCCGCGACGCGGGGACUGAGACACGGCCCAGACUCCUACGGGAGGCAGCAGUGGGGAAUAUUGGACAAUGGGGGAAACCCUGAUCCAGCCAUGCCGCGUGUGUGAAGAAGGCCUUAUGGUUGUAAAGCACUUUAAGCGAGGAGGAGGCUCUUUUGGUUAAUACCCAAGAUGAGUGGACGUUACUCGCAGAAUAAGCACCGGCUAACUCUGUGCCAGCCGCCGCCGUAAUAC